AUCGAAUCUUUGAACGCACCUUGCGCCCCUUGGUAUUCNGAGGGGCAUGCCUGUUUGAGUGUCAU
rnacentral:rRNA from 1 species